UGCUCCUAUCUAGAUUUAUAAUUUACAUCUAAUGCAUAUUGUAGAAAACAGCAAAAACUCUGAGGCUUAACUCAACAAAAAUCUGUUGUCUGUGCCACAAGCCCCACUGUUUCGGGAGGUGGUUUGUGCCACAUAACCACUCCACACUAUUUAUUAUGCCUCUAUCUGAACAUCAUGCUUUAGGUUUUUUGAGAGGAGGAGAAAGCAAUGGAAAGUUGGCCACUGGCAGUUAAAUGCUCCGCACCUUUAUGGAAGUUACACUGGCUCACAUUUCCUAGGCCAAAGGUAGUCUUGUAUCUGAUUUAACAUCAAAGUUGGCAGGGAAAUACAAUCCUUCCUUGUGUCUGAAAGGGGAGGGGGCCCCAUACUGGUAAGCAGACUGCCAGGCAGAGUGUUCCAACAUGUACUUGUGCCAUAUUUGUCCUACCGAUUCCCCUGCCCUUGAAAGAGCUGAUGAUAUAGUUCACAAUCUGUGCCAAACCUUAGGGCAGACGUUGUACUAGAGGCCACUUGGGUCUGAAAUGCCAGGAUUGAAACCAGGAUCCAUAACCAAGGAUGGGAAAGCUGGAGUGUUCCCAGAAGUAACAGAGUUCUCAGCUAUAUCCACACAUUCAGGAAGCUGUGCAGGCACAGUGUAUUACCAAGAGGUAAUUUCACCAUCAGGUGACCAUGAACUCAACCAGAGUAGAGGUGGUCCCAAACAGACUUGUCUAUUGAGUCUCAUUUCAGUCCCUAGGGUCUUCACAGAAGGAUGUCAGGGGUCCCUUCCUUCCCUGAUCUCUCCCAGCUUCUUUUUCUUUCCUCCUUAAAUGAUCUCCUUACUUUUUGUACACAUCUACUUCUCCUUCCCUAACAGUGUCCCACUCCAUCCUGGAGACAAGUCCUGAACAUUUCCCCCAAGACAGUCUUGAAGUGUCAUGAGCUGUUCUUACGACACAUAAGCCCAUUGUAGAAGGACUUAGAUAUUUUUGAUUCUUUAUAAAAUGGAGCACCUUCACCCUUCCUCCUGAUGAAUUUGCUCACUCAUGAGAAGGCACAGAGGGCAUUGUUAAGCGGCACCUGAAAACGGAACUUUCCAGGCUCUUGGAUCCAAAUCAGAACACAGGUGUUGAGUAUGGAAGAGUCACUUCAAAAAUCAGAUUCCAUGGAUAUGUGAUCAGUAGUUAAAGGGUUAAAGUCACAUUCGAAAGAAAGGUGACCCUCCUUCUCCUUGCUAAUGUAAUUGGCCAGAGUCCAAGCCAUUGGCCAAGCCAUACAUGAGUGGGGCCACCUGAUUUGAAAAAGGGACCUUAUACACAAACAAAUUGGAUGACCUAGAAGAAAGGUACAAAGACCUAAAAACACACAACCUAUCCAAACGGAAUCAAGAAGAAAUAGAAAGCCGGAACAAACCAGUAACAAAUAAGGUGACUGAAUCAGUAAUCAGAAACUUCUCGACAAAGAAAAGCCCAGUGCUAUAUGGAUUCACAGUCCCCGGAAACCACCAUUCAACUUUCUUGUCUCCAUGAAUUUGCUACUCUAGAUACCUCAUCUGUCAUGAAUAUAUGCUGAUCAGAAUUACUCAGAAUCUUCUGUCAUGGUUCCAGAAACGUGGGGAAAAACAAAAGACAACACAGAGAUAAAAUUACAGGUUACCAAGAAUUAUUUUUGGAAUUUUUUCAAAGCCAAGACAGACAACGCAGCCAGAAGAUGAGAACAGCCAACUCGUGAUAACAUUUCUCUUCAGUGGAUCAGGAAAGAGUCACAAAAGGUAAUGACAGCCCAAGAGCAGAGAAUGAAUGAAGCCAAAAACUUCUGAAAUAGGGAAAGGUGUGCAAAGCAAUGACUAACUUUUACAGAGGUCCCUCAGGCUCGGCAAUAGCAGGACGCAAGACGGGAAAGGCGUAGCAGUGGGAAGAAGCUACUGGCAAGGGGAUUGUUACAGGUGGAACUGCGUCCCCCCAAAUCCGCAUUUUGAAUCCCGACGCUUAGUACCUUCAGAUGUAACCUUAUAUGGAGAUAUGGUCUUAACAGAGGUAGUCAAGUUAGAGUGAGUUCAUCAGAGUGGUCCCUAAUCCACUCUGAUUGGGGUCCCUUAAAAGGGGGAAAUUUAGGCGCAGGGGUACCCAUAGAGGGAAAAUGCCAUGUGAAGAGACAGAGAGAAGAUGGCCAUCUUCAUGCCAAGGAGAGAGGUGUGGAGCAGAUCUUCCCCUGGACCCCUCGGAAGGAACCAACCCUACCAACACCUUGAUCCUGAACUUCCAACCUCCAAAACUGUGAGAAGAUGCAUUUCUGUUGUGCAUGCCCCUAGUCGGCAGUCCUAGGUUGCGGCAGCCCUAGCAAAGUAAUACAGUAAUUAACCUGAAAAAUCCUCAUUUACUGGAGGAUUCUAACAUUAAAGGGCGAAAAAGUAGUUGAAUGAGUAGAUCAAGGAGAUAAAAGAGGUCUCCUCGGGCUCAUAUUUACACGAAGCAGGCUUUUCUAUUAUAUUUACCAGAAACGACACGAGGUUGGAGCCUGGAAUGGGAAUAUAUAAAGUAGUGGCAAUGAAUGACCAAAACAGGUCUUAACACGUGCGUGCCAGGCACAGCAUCAUGUGUUUUACAGGAGUCAUUUGACUUGAUCCUUACAACCACCCUGUGAGGAGGUUGAAUUAUUUUCGAGAUGAAAAUACUGAGUCUCAGGGAAGUUUGGUUUCCUCACCCAGGGUCAGACAGCAGUAAGAGAUGGGAAAGAGCUCCUCUUGGCUCUGGGAGGGUAAGGAGGAGAGUGAUCGCUGUGAAUGCACCGAGACCCUUCUCCAUCACAGGGACUAUUCCCCAGAGGGAAAGACACAUCCCACUCAGGGGAAGGGCAUAUCUCUAACUCCAGACCCUAGAGUUUUCUUCUGUCACCUAAGAAGUAAAAAUAAAAGCUAUGAAAAACUUGUAAAGGUCACAACCCAGGACGCAGACCCACUGAACACUGAGAUUGAAUCCUCAGAUUAUAGAAUGCUUCCCUCUCUGAUUUUUUAUCACCACAUCAACAGGCCUCCAAUAUAAUAACAUUUGACAGCUAAAAGGGCUGCAAGGUACAGACUCUAUUUAAGGAGGAGUUCUUAGUGGGGGCGCCUG